rnacentral:rRNA from 1 species
AACGAACGCUGGCGGCAGGCCUAACACAUGCAAGUCGAGCGAGAUCUUCGGAUCUAGCGGCGGACGGGUGAGUAACGCGUGGGAACGUACCCUUUGCUUCGGAAUAGCCUCGGGAAACUGGGAGUAAUACCGAAUGUGCCCUACGGGGGAAAGAUUUAUCGGCAAAGGAUCGGCCCGCGUAGGAUUAGCUAGUUGGUGGGGUAAAGGCCUACCAAGGCGACGAUCCUUAGCUGGUCUGAGAGGAUGAUCAGCCACACUGGGACUGAGACACGGCCCAGACUCCUACGGGAGGCAGCAGUGGGGAAUAUUGGACAAUGGGCGAAAGCCUGAUCCAGCAAUGCCGCGUGAGUGAUGAAGGCCUUAGGGUUGUAAAGCUCUUUACCAGGAUGAUAAUGACAGUACCUGGAGAAUAAAGCUCCGGCUAACUCCGUG